GGGCCCGUAGCUCAGUCUGGCAGAGCGACUGGCUCUUAUGAAGGAAACCUGCUAUUUUAUUUGUUUCUUUCGUGAGCUACCAGUAUGCCGUGGGUUCAAAUCCCUCCGGGCCCG
rnacentral:tRNA from 1 species